AUUUCGUCCGAUCUAUGUAGUUUGGUAGAGCGCCAGACUUUUAAUCUGGUGGUCGUGGGUUCGAGCCCCACAUGCGGUG